CGGUUAAAACGCUCGUAGUUGGGUUUCUGUCAGGAACAACCGGUCUGGCCUGAGUGUCAAGUCACUGGUUCGGCCCCUGUCAUCUUCUUGGGGAACGGGUGCGCACUUCACUGUGCGACCUGGAAACCUUGACGUUUACUUUGAGGAAAUGAGAGUGCUUCAAGCGGGUGUUCGCCACGAAUAUGUUAGCAUGGAAUAAUAGUAUUGGACCUCGGAUCACAGCUGUUGGUUGCUGGAAUCGGGGUGAGGGUAAACAGAGACAGUUGGGGGCAUUCGUAUUUAACUGUCAGAGGUGAAAUUCUUGGAUUUGUUAAAGACAAACUACUGCGAAAGCAUUUGCCAAGGAUGUUUUCAUUGAUCAAGAACGAAAGUAUGGGGAUCGAAGAUGAUUAGAUACCGUCGUAGUCUAUACCAUAAACUAUGCCGACUAGAGAUUGG
rnacentral:rRNA from 1 species